AGCAAGACUGCCUCUUCUUCUCCUUCGUAAAUACAGUACUAGUAAGCGUAUACUAGCACUAGCUAGUAAGCCAUGGCGCCGACCGUGAUGGCCUCCUCGGCCACCUCCGUGGCUCCAUUCCAGGGGCUCAAGUCCACCGCCGGACUCCCCGUCAGCCGCCGCAUCAGUAGCACCGGCUUCGUCAGCAACGGCGGAAGGAUCAGGUGCAUGCAGGUAAUAUAAUCGAUCGAUCUAGACACUGGAAUUCUUGCUGUUACGUUGUUCAUAUAAAUAAUACAACUCAAUAGGAAGUUUAGGAACUGAUAUGAGAGUGUCGUUGCUCAGGUGUGGCCGGCGGAGGGCAACAAGAAGUUCGAGACCCUCUCCUACCUGCCACCUCUCUCAACCGACCAGCUCCUGAAGCAGGUCGAGUACCUGAUCCGGAACAACUGGAUCCCCUGCCUCGAGUUCAGCAAGGUCGGGUUCGUCUUUCGUGAGAACAGCAGGUCUCCCUGUUACUACGACGGGCGCUACUGGACCAUGUGGAAGCUGCCCAUGUUCGGCUGCACCGAGGCCACCCAGGUGUACGCUGAGCUCGAGGAGUGCAAGAAGGCCUACCCUGACUGUUACAUCCGUGUCAUCGGCUUCGACAACCUCAGGCAGGUGCAAUGCGUCCUGUUCAUCGCCUACAAGCCCCCGGGCAGCGAGUAGACCGGCGCCGCCAAAUAAAAAGCUUAAAUACUGAGACUCUUCAGCUCCUGCAUGGGCAAC
rnacentral:lncRNA from 1 species